AUUGAACGCUGGCGGCAGGCUUAACACAUGCAAGUCGAGCGAGCGGCGGACGGGUGAGUAAUGUCUGGGAAACUGCCUGCUGGAGGGGGAUAACUACUGGAAACGGUAGCUAAUACCGCAUACCAUCAGAUGUGCCCAGAUGGGAUUAGCUAGUAGGUGGGGUAAUGGCUCACCUAGGCGACGAUCCCUAGCUGGUCUGAGAGGAUGACCAGCUCCACUGGACAGUCACGACGGUCCAGACGCCUACGGGAGGCAGCAGUGGGGAAUAUGGCACAAUGGGCGCAAGCCUGAUGCAGCCACGCCGCGUGUGUGAAGAAGGACUUCGGGUUGUAAAGCACUUUCAGCGAGGAGGCGUUACUCGCAGAAGAAGCACCGGCUAAGUCCGUGCCAGCAGCCGCGGUAAUAC
rnacentral:rRNA from 1 species